GAUUUAUAGCACAAAUAAAUAAGGUCAAUGAUGCAAAUUAAAGCACUUAAGCAAUGCAUUGAUGAAAAAAAGAACACUUCCACUUGACAUAUUACACAAUACCAUUUACACAAGACCAAGGUUAGCCUUACUCAUGAAGGGCAAUAAAGAACAAAUGAUUUGUCACUGUUCGGUCUAUUAUAGUGACAGUCUAAAAGAUCGGUCCAAAUAAACUAACACGCAGAAUUUCUGGCUGUAUGUUUGGUAUCCAGCCUGUCCCUUUUUGAGGAUGUAAUGAGGAGUGUAAUGGAAUAAAAAUCCACUCAGUGAACCCACACCUAGAUUUGUGAAAUGCAGUGCACACGCUGUUGUCAAAAAUCUUUACAGUGUGAAUUACUACUAGACUUAACCAAGUUAAAUGAAAACAGCUUGUUUAAAAAGGUAAACAUUAAUGGAUGCCAUACUGUUUAU